AUGAAGAAAUUUGGCUCACACGUCCUCUUUCCUUUACAUCUUCCCUGGGAAGCCGGCCUGAGAGAUCCACUCCUGAACAUGGUCAUUCUCUCAAGCCUCUUGACUUUUGGACUUGGGAAGGUGGAACAACCUGAAAUAUCAGUUACAAGAACAACGGAUGAGACUGCCCAAAUAUCCUGUAAGGUCUCCAUCAACAGCUUUAAAAGUGUAGCCAUACACUGGUACCGGCAAAAACCAAAUCAAGGUUUACAGUUUCUAUUACAUGUCAUGGCAACUCCCACCCAUAUUCUCUUAGAUGAGACCAAGAAAAUGGAAGCAAGUAAAAAUCCUAGUGCUUCCACAUCGACAUUGACAAUAUAUUCCUUGAAGGAAGAAGACGAAGCUAUCUAUUACUGUUCCUACGGCUAUAGCUCGGGCUGGAGCAAGGUAUUUGCAGAAGGAACGAAGCUCAUAGUAAUCCCUCCUGACAAAAGGUUUGAUACAGACAUUUCCCCCAAGCCUACCAUUUUCCUUCCUUCCGUUGCUGAAACGAAUCUCCAUAAGGCUGGGACAUACCUUUGUCUCCUUGAGAAAUUCUUCCCUGAUGUUAUAAGGGUAUACUGGAAAGAAAAGGAUGGCGAUAAGAUCCUGGAAUCCCAGGAAGGGAAUACACUGAAAACCAAUGACACAUACAUGAAGUUUAGCUGGCUUACCGUGACUGCAGAGUCAAUGCAUAAAGAGCACAGAUGCAUUGUCAAACAUGAGAACAAUAAGAAAGGAGUUGAUCAAGAGAUUUCCUUUCCUCCAAUAGAGAAAGUUGCCGUGAGUGCUGAGCCUACACCUUGCUGGCAUGAAAAUGCUGUGCUGCAGCUUCAGCUCACGAGCACCUCUGCCUACUACACCUACCUUCUCCUCCUCCUCAAGAGUGCGAUCCACCUGGCCAUGGUCAGCUUCUCUCUGGCUAGAAGAACAGCUACCUGUGGCAAUGAGAAGAGAUCCUAAGGAAGUGAACGGUGGCACAACCAGUCAGCUCCUGUUCAUUCUCCCUGUGAAAUUGUGCCUUACGGGGCCCAGCUGGAUUUUCUUGCUAACUUUGACCUCUGUAAAAUCACAUGCAUUUCAUUCUGUAAUCACUCAAAAGUUUUCAGACUUUCAUAAGCAAUUCAAGCAACUUCUCUCUCUAACCAAGGAUAGCUCCCUUCUGAUUCUAUCCUCUUCAGUAGUUCAGUGGUUCCCCGAGAGCCUGAAGCAUCACAGCUCCAGUACACAUAGCUUGCAGCUUCUACCCGCAGUACUUGUUGCCCUUGAGCCAGCUAACUCCCUGAAAGCCUCCAUGCUAGACACCCUAAAGAGCCUUCUUUACUGCUUGAAUUCUUGUACUUCA